ACUCAUCUGUUGCUCACUGCUAGUGAUGAAAUAUUGCCUUGUGAAGACGGCUCACAGAAGUGUCUGUUAGCUGUGUUUAACUCCGCAUCCUGAACUCGACAUCCUGAACUCCACCUCAGACAGUGGAUGUGCACUAAGGAAAGUUUGCCUGCCACUGUAAUUAGACUGUGUGUUACACAAAACUGAGCUCCUCCGGCAACAACCAUCAGCACAUCCAGUUCUGUAAAAGCAGAACGUGACAUGACUUCCUAAACCCGUGGCAGGUUGACGAGAAGGCAGUCUGCUUCAGGGUGCAAAGAAGAGAUGAAUGCUAAAUCUUUUACUCUCUAUUUGUUCUCUGAAAAGAAAUGGAUUUGAAGAUUAAGAGAGUAGCUCCAAAAUAACUGGGUUUAGAGCUGAUAUGCUCUCUGAAUGAUUGAUGGAGUUGGAGUGGAGAGCAUCAAACUCGAUGCAGCAGCAAACUAUCAGAGCUGACUUCCCAAGAGCAGCAUGCAGAAUCUCAUCCAAUUGCAUUAUCGGGGACAGCUGCCUCAUUUCCAUAAAGCCAUGUUACCACACGUGUUCUACUUAAUCUGUGACUGACCAAGACCUGUUCCUGUUUUCAAAAGCUCAUUACCUCCGCCAAAGCAGUUAUGUUUUCACUGCUAUCCAUUUAAAUGUCUGACUGUCUGUUUACAACUAUUAGAAAUAGGAAAAAAUUUAUGUAUUUGCAUGGAAUUUACUGUUCAAACAAGUGUUAGUCUGCUCUCUGGAAGUAUUUUUUGUAAGUAAUCUAUGUAUUAAAGUAUGCAAUACUAAAGCUGAAUUUGUGAAAAUAUAAACCUGGAAGCAUAUCUACAUUAGUUUAUCUAACAAAUUUCCAUACUCAAGUACAUUUUGUCGCUUUUAUCAAAACCUGAUUGUUAUCCAUUGUUUUCUGUGUAAUCGACCAUUCACCAAGCCCCUUUCCUAUAGCUACCUUUGCCAGUCAAUGAUAACAGUAGCAGAUUUGCCAUCAAAGUUGUUAGUAAUCUCUGAAACAAUGGGUCAGUGAUUUCAGACAGAGGUGGACAAAAGCAGGUUUCUCAUUUCUAGCUACAGGAAAAGCCACAAUAAAUCCAGAAUAAACACUAAGCAAUAUUUUUUAUAUUUAUACUGAAUAAAAUGCCUUCCUGUAACAUGAACGGGCUGCUGAACCUGCUGAGAAUUAAGAAUUGAGGCGGAUGCAUCAUUUCGAACUCUCAGUUCAUUUUUGUGGCUCUCUGCUGUGUAUGGUUGAGUCGUUGUGUAAUGACGGGCAGAGGGUGCGGCUGCACCGGGCCCACGGUUCUCUUUAGUUACAAAGGGGCCCACUGUAGCCCCAAUCUGCCCGACCAAACAUGAAGAAAAUUUUUAAUAGUUUGUUUGUGUGUCUUGAUUGUGGCAAAAUAGAAAAAGUUAGACUCGUCUGUGUCUUCUGCUGAUACGAGGUCCCCCACCACUACCAACAUGCUGCAAACAGCA